rnacentral:rRNA from 1 species
CGGUAACUGACGUUGAGGCUCGAAAGCAUGGGUAGCAAACAGGAUUAGAUACCCUGGUAGUCCAUGCCGUAAACGAUGAAUACUAGGUGUUGGGGAGCAUAGCUCUUUCAGUGCCGGAGCUAACGCAUUAAGUCUUUCCGCUUGGGGAGUACGUUCGCAAGAAUGAAAAUCAAAGGAAUUGACGGGGGCCCGCCCAAGCGGUGGAGCAUGUGGUUUAAUUGGAAGCAACGCGAAGAACCUUACCAAGUCUUGACAUCUUGCGAUAGCCUUAGAGAUAAGUCUUUCCUUUGGGACAGGGGAGACAGGUGGGGCAUGGUUGUUGUCAGUUGGUGUUGUGAGAUGUUGGGUUAAGUUCCGCAACGAGCGCAACCCCUAUCCCCAGUAGCCAGCAGUCAGGUUGGGCACUCUGAGGAGACUGCCAGGGAUAACCUGGAGGAAGACGGGGAUGACGUCAAAUCAUCAUGCCCCUUAUGAUUUGGGCUACACACGUGCUACAAUGGAGUAAACAAAGAGGAAGCAAGCUUGCGAGGGUAAGCAAAUCUCAAAAAUAACGUCCCAGUUCGGACUGCAGUCUGCAACUGGACUGCACGAAGUUGGAAUCGCUAGUAAUCGCGGAUCAGAAUGCCGCGGUGAAUACGUUCCCGGGUCUUGUACACCCCGCCCGUCACACCAUGGGAGUCAGUAACGCCCGAAGUCAGUGACCUACCUGCAAAGAAGGAGCUGCCGAAGGCGGGACCGAUGACUGGGGUGAAG